GCGGGUAUAGUUCAGUGGUAGAACCUCAGCCUUCCAAGCUGAUGGCGCGGGUUCAAUCCCCGCUACCCGCUCCA
rnacentral:tRNA from 1 species